rnacentral:rRNA from 1 species
AACGCGAAGAACCUUACCUACUCUUGACAUCCAGAGAACUUUCCAGAGAUGGAUUGGUGCCUUCGGGAACUCUGAGACAGGUGCUGCAUGGCUGUCGUCAGCUCGUGUUGUGAAAUGUUGGGUUAAGUCCCGCAACGAGCGCAACCCUUAUCCUUGUUUGCCAGCGAGUAAUGUCGGGAACUCCAGGGAGACUGCCGGUGAUAAACCGGAGGAAGGUGGGGACGACGUCAAGUCAUCAUGGCCCUUACGAGUAGGGCUACACACGUGCUACAAUGGCGCAUACAGAGGGCGGCCAACUUGCGAGAGUGAGCGAAUCCCAAAAAGUGCGUCGUAGUCCGGAUUGGAGUCUGCAACUCGACUCCAUGAAGUCGGAAUCGCUAGUAAUCGUGGAUCAGAAUGCCACGGUGAAUACGUUCCCGGGCCUUGUACACACCGCCCGUCACACCAUGGGAGUGGGCUGCAAAAGAAGUAGGUAGUUUAACCUUCGGGGGGACGCUUACCACUUUGUGGUUCAUGACUGGGGUGAAGUCGUAACAAGGUA